GACAGAGGUGCCAAGCGUUAGGCGGAAUCACUGGGCUUAAAGCGUGUGUAGGUGGAUUUGUAAGUACCUUGUGAAAUCCCAUGGCUCAACCAUGGAACUGCUCGGUAUACUGCGAAUCUUGAGCACUUAGGGGCUACCGGAACAAAUGGUGGAGCGGUGAAAUGCGUAGAUAUCAUUUGGAACGCCAAUGGUGAAAACAGGUAGCUGGGAGUGUGCUGACACUGAGACACGAAAGCCAGGGGAGCGAACGGG
rnacentral:rRNA from 1 species